rnacentral:rRNA from 1 species
UCCAGACUCCUACGGGAGGCAGCAGUGGGGGAUAUUGCACAAUGGGGGGAACCCUGAUGCAGCGACGCCGCGUGGGUGAAGGAGCGUUUCGGCGCGUAAAGCCCUAUCGGCAGGGAAGAAGGAGGACGGUACCUGACUAAGAAGCCCCGGCUAACUACGUGCCAGCAGCCGCGGUAAUACGUAGGGGGCAAGCGUUAUCCGGAUUUACUGGGUGUAAAGGGGGCGCAGACGGCAGCGCAAGCCAGGAGUGAAAGCCCGGGGCCCAACCCCGGGACUGCUCUUGGAACUGCGCGGCUGGAGUGCAGGAGGGGCAGGCGGAAUUCCUGGUGUAGCGGUGAAAUGCGUAGAUAUCAGGAGGAACACCGGUGGCGAAGGCGGCCUGCUGGACUGCGACUGACGUUGAGGCCCGAAAGCGUGGGGAGCAAACAGGAUUAGAUACCCCUGUAUC